rnacentral:rRNA from 1 species
AGGUAAAGGCUUACCAAGGCGAUGAUGCAUAGCCGAGUUGAGAGACUGAUCGGCCACAUUGGGACUGAGACACGGCCCAAACUCCUACGGGAGGCAGCAGUAGGGAAUCUUCCACAAUGGACGCAAGUCUGAUGGAGCAACGCCGCGUGAGUGAAGAAGGUUUUCGGAUCGUAAAAGCUCUGUUGUUGGUGAAGAAGGAUAGAGGUAGUAACUGGCCUUUAUUCGACGGUAAUCAACCAGUAAGUCACGGCUAACUACGUGCCACCAGCCGCGGUAAUACGUAGGUGGCAAGCGUUGUCCGGAUUUAUUGGGUCUAAAGCGAGCGCAGGCGGAAACGCCAUAAGUCUGAUGUGAAAGCCCUCGGCUUAAGCCGAGGAACCAGUCAUCGUGAAACUGUUUUUCCUUCGAGUGCAGAAGAGGAGAGUGGAACUCCAUGUGUAGCGGUGGAAUGCGUACAUAUAUGGAAUAACACCAGUGGCGA